GGGAGUGUAAAGGUUUCGACAGGGUUUAAUGGGUCAAAAAUAGCAGAUCAGGUGAUUCCUGUAAAAAAUCAAAAAAUAAAUUUAAAUGCAGAAAAUAAUUACGCUUUAGCUGCCUAGUUGUAGCUCGCACUUUAUAUUUUAGUCGACGUGAAUUUAAAGUGUGUCAAUAAAGUCGAAUAGUUUUUAAUAAUGCUUUUUUAUUAAAAAUGAAAAUUUAAAAAGCUAGCUAACUAUAAUCUUUGCUUUUAGGAGUAUAGAAGGCGAAAUUUAAAUUAAAAGCUAAGUCUGUAGAAGUUUUUGAAGUCGUGGAUUCUGGACACGGGUUCGAUUCCCGUCACUUCCACCA
rnacentral:tmRNA from 1 species